AUACUUACCUGGUAGGGGAAGCACCAUGAUCACAAAGGUGGUUUUCCCAGGCGAGACUUAUCCAUUGCACUAUGGAUGUGCUGACCCCUGCAAUUUCCCCAAAUGGAGGAAACGCUGCAUAAUUUGUGGUAAUGGGGGACUGCACUCACACUGUCCCCUA